AGAUGGCUGAGCAGUCACAACUCCCAUCUAAUUUUUUAUCCUCCCAUGUGGGCUCCUCCAAAGAAGUAAAGUAGAAAAAUUGCCACAAACAUUUUGUGAAGCCAGCAUUACCCUCCUUCCAACUAGUCAGAAGUCUACAAGAAAAUAAAACUGCAGGCCAAAUUAUUUCAUAUUGCAAAAUGAAUGCAAAACCCCUUAGAAAACACUUGGAAACCAAAUUCAACAGGAUGUUGGAGGAAUCACACAGCUAUAUCAGGUGGGAGAUGCAUCUCAAGUGCCAAUAUGAUUAAAUAUUAAUCAAUGUGAUACACAGCAUUCUGAAAAUAAAUGACACAAAUCAUCAUAUGAUCGCUUUGGUAGGUCUAUGAAGGCAUUAUGAAACUUCCACACCCCUUUAAUGAUAAUAACUGUCAACAAAGUAGGUAAAGAAGGGAUGUAUCACCACAGGAAGAAAGCCAUAAAUGCCAACCCAUGGCCUGUGUUGUAAUUCAGAGUAAAAAGCUGGAUGCCUGAACAGAAGGAUGCCCCACUUUUGCAAUGGGGCAUAAGAAAGCAAGAAAAAGCAUCAAAGAUGGACAGGAAGAAGUUAAACUGUCUGUACAGGUCCCUGAGCCCUGGAGGACUGGGAUAGAGACAUCCAGUUGAGGACUGAGUACCAGAAGUCCACAAUCCUUUGUCAUUAAUCUACAGAAUGCUAAAGAAGAAAAGCUUUCUGUAGACAGCAGUGAAAGCUCCUUGAUGUAACAUGAGGUUAUUCACCCUGCCACACGUGAUAGGAUGAGAAAAUUCACAUCCCGCACUACAGAAAUCAUCCAACCUACAAUUCUCAGGAUGCACAUGGAGUGGGUCUGUUAGGUAAUAGACAAGUUAUGUACCCUUUUAAUCUGAAUUAGCAAUACUAUCUGACCCCAUGGUUUCUGGCAAGAAACUGUCUAGAGGAAAGUUUCCCUUUGCACUUUCCUCUUUCUAAAGGUAGCUGAUGAGCUCAACAUAUAAGAAUGACCACCCAGUGCAUGAAGGACAUCUCUGUGUUUGGGGGUGAGGAGUAGAUUCAGUUAUUUAAGCUGACUGUGCAGUAAGAUGUGUACAUACACACACACACACACACACACACACACACACACACACAGUCUCCUUGAGAGAGAUUAUUAAAGACCAGCCAUCAAGAGAUUCUGAAACUUGUAUUUCUGUUAAGUUUUUGGACAGAUACUUACCUCAAAGCACCCUACAUUUCCCUUUCUUUCCUUCUUUCUUUCUUUCUUUCUUUCUUUUCUUUUCUUUCUUUUUUUUUUUUUUUUUUUUUUUUUUUUGAUUAUAAAAAUCAGUUUAUUGUAAAGGAAAUUCAAGAAUAACCAGUUACAUUCUUAUCUGCAUACUACCCACUACAACCAGGAAUCAUUAAACACUAUUGGACACAACAAGUAAGACUACGUUGAGGCCAUGAUUCAAAUUUAGUGAGGGUGCUCAAAUCUCCCACAGCCAGCAUGGAGGGUUUGAUAAGAUCAGAGAGCACCAUCAGGCACCGGGGGCUGCUGGACAUUGAGGUGUAACCAGGCACACCAUGGUGAGAGAGAAGGAAGGAAUACAGAUCGAUUCUUAGCCCUUUCAAAGUGCUAGAGAGACUGACUAGAAAGGUCUUACCUUCAACACAAGAAGGCUGUGCCCGAGUUGUGCCAGCCACCUGGCCUGGGAAACAGGAACAUUUGACUGUCUGAGAGCGCUCCUCUAUGCGGUUCUUAUUGCAGCAGCGGUGCACGGCAACGACCUCACAAGUACCUUGCUUGAUCAGGUGGUGACCUGGGAGGUCAUGAGAGAGCACACAGACCAGGUGCUGUUAGAGUGGAGCAGAAUGACCAAGAACUUAGUGACACUGUAAUUACUGUAUUGUUCUCACCUGCACUGCUGUUCCCGCCCAAUGUGUUAUGCUUAUGUAUCUUGAUAAUGUUUCCAUUUGAUGAUAUUUCCAAGUAAUAUACAAUUAGUAAGAAAAGAGAUGGAUCCUCCAGAAUAUCAGCUCCAAAAUUCUUGUGGUUAUUUUACACUCAUGGCAUGGCCCUAGAAAUGUUGCUGAAAUUAAGAUUACUGAUUGGUUGAUUUGAGAGGAGCAUAUCCUAGCUUAUGUAGAUAGAAACAAUAGAAUCUCAUGAGCCCUUAAAAGCUGAAAGACAGAAAGCCUACCUGGGGUUAAGGACUGUUGUUAGCUUACAGAUGGAGGUAGCAACGUGUGGAUGAACUAGAGGCAUGCAUCUUAUCAAACAUAAAUUCAACCGAGAACCUGAAGGAAUCUGAAGCCAAUUUGUCCCUACAGGUUCCAUAAAGGACUACAACCCUGCUCACAUCUUGACUGUUGACUUCUCAGUCAUGAGACCCUUGGGAGAUAAUCAGCCAAGUCCAGACUUCUCACCCUUUAGGAUGAGAUACUGAUUUGAGGGCAGCAAUAGGAAACUACCCAUUCACUCCGAUUUACCAGUUUACAUCUGACCACAUUUGAGACAUUGUCCAUGACCUGUCUCACGGAUACUCAUUUACGCUUCAAGACAUCAGUGCAUAUUUUCUAAAAACAGACAUCCUUCUACAAUUGGUCAGAUUACCUUCUGAUUAAUGCCGUCAUUCAAUAUCUAUACGUGUAGAUAAUCCCAGCUGUGCCCUAGAUCUCCCCCACCCAGAUUCUACUAAGGAAGUAUGCCUCACAUUCGCUUUUUACCUGCCAUUAGCUCCCUUUAAUCAGAACCUGGUCCUCAAACAAUCUUUCUUGACCUUAACAUUAUUAAAAGAACACAUGGCAACCACUGUAUAAAGUUCUUCCCCUUGGGUUUGUUGUUGUUGUUUUGUGUGUGUGUGUGUGUGUGUGUGUGUGUGUGUGUAUGUGUGUGUGAUUCUUCCCCUUGAUAAGAUUCAGGUAAUUCCUUUUUAGCCAAGAAUUCUGGCAGCAACUUUGUAUUCUCCUACAAGGAAUCACAUGAUGCCCUUUAUUCCAUUCUUGCAAUGUUAGCUUUAAUCACCUGGUAUCUCUCCAGCUUCUUUGUUGUAAAAUACUAUUUUCUCUAAUAACUUAAUAUAUAUUUUGAGAAGAGAAAUAUUGAAACUACAUACAUCUUAUUGUCAACACCAAUCCUCUAAUUUUAGAACCCAUUGAUGAUUUAUACCUGAAUCAAUCAUUAAUUUGAUAGUUAUAAGACUGACUCACAGUAUUCAAAUUGCUCUGGAUCUGCACAGAAGGACACCCUUCACUCUUGACUGCUGUGUUGUUUUGACAUGGAUUUCUAUUUUCUUAAACAAUUUACUAAGCUUAUGGCUCACAAGUACAUUCUAGGCAUACCAUUCUUCCCAGCUCUCCCCAUUUCUCUAGCCUUGAUGACUUUUAAGAACUGGUCAAACUUAGAAGACGUGAUAUUCAUAUGUAGGCUUUGUCAUUACUCCACUGGAAUGAUCUGGACUCUGUUAGUGCACAUAAGUGCAUAGACAUAGCAUGAGUCUAUGUAGAAAUCAAGUUCUAGUCAAGUGUCUGACACAAGUUCAUGCUACUCCCUCCUAUUCUUAUCUCUCCAUUACUAACAAUAAUGACAAACCUUACUCUCUUAGUCCAUAGAUACCAGAAUAGAAUGAAUACCAGGCUUGUUUUCAUCACCAGUAGUAUGCAGCAGAAACAGUACCAGGGUAUGUCAAAGGUAAAAAAGCUGCCAUUCCUGGUGAUCACAUCCCUCACUUGGGGAUAACAGUGGUGUAAGCAAAUAAAUUCUAUGGCCAAGAUCUCUGUAGAUGAGCUUACAAAGCUGUUCUAGUCACCCUACUCUGAAGGAGCUUGUAUGUGUGACUAUGGUACAGCAUACAGACCUAAAGAUUGUCAUUAAUUUUUUUCUGAUGAAAUAGAUGUAACUGAACUUGGAAAUAUUACAGCCUGAUCACCAAAUGCAACCACACUUAAGAUUAGGGAUUCGACACAGAUACUGGGCAAGGGCAUCAGCAUUCCAACCACCAAAAAAAAAAAAAAUAGUAAACAUGACUAGAUUAUUAAAUGAUCCUAGAGAGUCUGUAAUGAAGGCAACUCUAUGCUUCAUUUAGAAGCUGAAAGAAAUAUGCUUUAAUAACUUCUUAGAAAAGUUAACAAGUAAUUUUGUCCCUUAGUAAUAACAUAGUCUGUUUGGUGCUCUGUUGCUGUUUGGAUAACUAUACACAAAUACAAAUGCAUUAUCUUCUAGUCAAAUUUAGAAUUGUUCCAGGCCUCCCAGAAUGGUCAUUUACCCUGACUCAAGCUUACAUUUACUUAUGCAAACCAAUCUAUUGUGCUUCCUUGAUGUUUAGACUCACUAUAUUAUCUUCUAACCUAAAAGAAAAUAGCACAGCAAAUAACAUCCUACAAUAAUAAUUGACACUAUUUAAAAUCCUUAGGAGUACCCAUAUCAGACUGUGUCUGAGAAUUCGAUGGCAUCUCAGAUCUGAUUAAGUAUGGCAGGCACUGUUGUAAAUAUUUUACAAAUAUCCUGUGUGAUCUAAUAAAAAUGCUGUGAGAUAGGAA